CUACGGGCUGCUGCAGCUAAGAAUCUUCCGCAAUGGACGAAAGUCUGACGGAGCGACGCCGCGUGAACGAUGAAGGCCGUGAGGUUGUAAAGUUCUUUUCGGGAGGAGGAAUAAGGUUUGUAGGAAAUGACAGACUGAUGACGUUAAUCCCGGAAUAAGCCCCGGCUAACUACGUGCCAGCAGCCGCGGUAACACGUAGGGGGCAAGCGUUGUUCGGAAUCAUUGGGCGUAAAGGGCGUGCAGGCGGUGUUGCAAGUCUGGCGUGAAAGAUCUCGGCUUAACCGAGGGAACGCGCUGGAAACUGUAAUACUAGAGUACAGGAGGGGACAUUGGAAUUCCAGGUGUAGGGGUGAAAUCUGUAGAUAUCUGGAAGAACACCGGUGGCGAAGGCGAAUGUCUGGCCAUGUACUGACGCUGAGACGCGAAGGUGCGGGGAGCAAACAGGAUUAGAUACCCUGGUAGUC
rnacentral:rRNA from 1 species